GGUUGAUGGGUAAGGAUUUAAACACAUGCGUAAACCGAGAAACGGGAACACGAAUUUAAAGUCAAAAGACUCGGAUUAUGAGUUAUGACUGAAAGACCAUAAAAUUUCGCAAACAGAAAUUUUGAUAAUUAUAUUCAACUAUUCGAAGUCGAAUGGGUUGAAUAAAGAAUAAAGUUGAUUGUUUAUAAGUGAUGGAUUUCACAUUAAUAAGUCAAACAGGUUGAAUACAAUAUAACGCCGAAUGGCACAAAUGAGCGCUAGCCAGAUAAGGGUAGCGUUAAAUGCAAGAGAAUAAUGAGCCCGGUAAUGGGAUAUAACCAAAUAAGAAUAAAUUAUGGACUGUCAAUAUCCUGGUAGGGAUAAUUGACAAAAGUUAAAGAGAAGAUCCUAAAACUAAAACUUCGGUUUUAGUAAGAAAUAAUGUUUUUACAAACAUAGACUCUGAUAGGAAUUUAAAUAAUAAGUAUGAAAGAUACAAAUCUUGACACUGAUAGGUGCAAGACAAUAUAUUCGAAAAGUGAUAUUUUCGAAGAUGAAAAGGUUGAUAUAAAUUAAACAUGAUGUGACAUGAUCACGGUCAAGAGGUACAAUGUGAAGAAGAAUCACAUUAUAACCAAGCGAGCGGUAAAAAGAAACCGGACAAAUAAGUCUAGUUAGUGAAACCGGUUAAGGUCAGUAAUUCAAGUUAAGAAAUUUGGUUUGCUUGUAAGUGGUAAAUUCGGUAUAACUGAACCGAAUAAAUAAAUUUGAAAAUAAAAAGAUUUGUUGCUAAAAGUGAAAGAUUUCACUAAAGACCUUUAAACGGGUCAAAGUAACGGGUUCAUAAAGAAAUCCGAUAGUAUAUGAAAGCAUUGAAUAUCGCUAAGUUGAUUAAACUAGUGGAAAUAACGAGAUUACGUUAUUUCAAGUCGCAUCAUGUCAUAUAAGAUACGUAGAUGAUUAAUAACCAAAAGGAUAUUACCAUACUUUUCUGGUAAUACUAACAAUCGGUUAAGAUAUGAGAAAUGCUUAAUUGAUUAUCGAGAGCAAAUGCAUGGAGUGGAACUCGAUAAAUUAAGUAAGAAAAGGUUUCGGGGACGAAACCUCUUUAAGGGGGGUAGACUUGUAACACCCCGAAAACGAGUUUGGUAAUUAAACCCCGUUAAUACUAAAGACGGGGAAAGUACCGUUAGUGGUAAAAGUAAACUGUCAAAUAUUAGGAAUUUAUUUAAUAAUCCUAAUAUUUAUUUGAAGUGAAUAAAAAGCUUUUUAGAAAUAAAGUGAUAGAAGGCCCGAGUUUACGGGACCCGAAAUAAACUUAGUCAUAAAUACUUUUCGAACCCGCAAAGUUAAUUAGGAAUAUUAAACCUAGUUAAUAAGUGGGGAAUAUUGUUAGAAAUAAGUAGGUUGUGCCCUACUUAAUUAACUAACCAAAUUAGAGGGGCCAAUAUUGUUAAAAUUGAAACUUAACUUUAAUUAAUUAAAUAAAACACACCAAACACCCCACAAGGAGGUGUCUGGUCGUACAAGAAGAACAAGGGGGCGAUCCCCACACAUCAAAACCCUAAAUCUUCACCAAACUUGCAAAUUGAAGGCUCAAUCCAAGUCAAAAUCGAAAAUCAAGCAUAGAUUAUUGAUCCCCAUUGAAAGGGGAGUCAUAAGGUAUGUAAAUUUUGUGAAAAAUCUCUAGUUGGAUUUCUAGGUAAACUUAGAAAUCUGAAAUUUGAUGGUUGCAUGUUUGUUAUAUGAUGAAAUUAUGAAUGAUUUGAUGUCUAGGAGUAAACCCUAGUCAUUUACUUGUUGAAUUGAUGUUCAUAAUUGUGAAUUCAUGAUCACCCGAUUAUGUGCUAAAUGAGUUUUGUAGAAACAUGAUGAACCCUAGAAUCAUAAUGGUUAAAUUGUGUUAGUAGAACUCCCUGAAGUUGGAUUUGAAGUUUGAUGUUAGUACUUGUUACUUAUGCUAGAAUUUAAGGGUUUAGAACACUUAAAUGGGCUGGAGAAAUUUGAUGUUUCGUGUUGCACACAAGGUGCUUGAUGAAAUGCUUGAACAAGAAAAUAUAACAAAACUGAUUGGGAUUAAAAAUUAUUGGGCUGCAGUUUAAAAAAAAAUCAUAUAAAAUCAUUGGAACGACCUGUGAGGUUGAGCCUUAUAUGCUCAGAAAGCUAUUGAAACAUACUACGUUUUAUGUUUGAACAUGUUUGUUAAAUUCUGAUGUUAAACGGGUCAAAACAGUGUCCGAAGUCGGCUGAACUGUUUUGACAGCAAGCUGACUGGAAGCAUUUUUUUUACUUCAGAGCUGAUUUUGUAAAAAUCAUAUAAAAUCAUAGGAACAUCGUUAGAAGACGUACCAUAUAUGCCUAGAAAGCUAUUUCGGAGUUCUACGAUCCAUUUUUGAACAUGUUGAUCUAAUUCAGCUUUUAAAUGGGUCAAAAUGGUCAAUUACAGCAGCUGAAUACAAAAUCGCUGCACUUUAGUAAUGUUCUUAUUAACCAAGAAAAAGACAUAUGAUUGCGUAUACUUGUUUAGUCAUGAAGUAUUUAUUGUUAGGAACAAGUAACACUUUAUAUGACAUGCUUAAAGUGUUCAAAAUCACUUACUAACUAGUUUGUAUAAAUAACUUGACUAACGGGUCAAACGGUUAGUGAAUGGAAAGAAUUAUGACAAAAAAAAUAAAUAAGUAAAUAAUAUAUUUGUUGAAUAAAUAGCACAUUUUGGUGAAUAAGUGUGUGAAUCCAUAAGGUGUGAUGGUCAUGUUAAUGGUUGACUAAUCUAAUCAUCUUGUGGAUAUGAUAUGGUAGUUUGACUCUGACAAGCUAGGUAGGAGCUUGGAAAUGAACGGGUCAAAUGGAUACAAGUUCAAGUAUGAAGCUCGCAAGGAUGCAAGAUAUCCAAUGGAUACUCGCAUCGCUCUUAAUUAGCAAUUAUAAAGCAAGGUAUUAAACCGGGUUAGUAAGUUGAUCCGAGCCAGGUAU
rnacentral:lncRNA from 1 species